GCUCCGGUAUAUUGCAAAUAACCUUCUUUCUUUCUGUUCCCGGGCGGCUUCGGACCCCUGUCGGAGAGUAAAUCCCAAGUAAGGAAUGGAACAGAUAAGAAGAUACUGAGAUUGGACGGUGCUGCCGUGCGGCCGCCGCAGGACAGUUUUAAUAUCCCUGUUUCUCAGGCUGUAGAUGAAGGGGUUCAGCAUGGAGGUGAUCACCGUGUACAUCACUGAGGCCACUGCAGCCUUUCUCGGGGAAGAUGACACAUCUGAACUGAGGAUAACUUCAGGAAGUGGGUAUUAAUUCUCACGGUAUAAGUGAAGACAUUAAGCACCAGAGUUUAAGUAGCUUGAUCCACUGAAAGAGAUUCAACUGUGUGGAACCUAUGCCACGGAGAAUUGCUUUCUGCCAUUGUUAUCGUCCAGCAGUUGCCGAAUAUCUCUGACCUGAGCAAAGCAGUGAAACGCGGUGCUGUUGAGUGGGUUGCCACUGCAC
rnacentral:lncRNA from 1 species